AGUGAACGCUGGCGGUAGGCCUAACACAUGCAAGUCGAACGGCAGCACCGUAAGAGCUUGCUCUUACGGGUGGCGAGUGGCGGACGGGUGAGGUAUACAUCGGAAUCUACUUUUUCGUGGGGGAUAACGUAGGGAAACUUACGCUAAUACCGCAUACGACCUACGGGUGAAAGCAGGGGAUCUUCGGAACUUGCGCGAUUGAAUGAGCCGAUGUCGGAUUAGAUAGUCGGCGGGGUAAAGGCCCACCAAGGCGACGAUCCGUAGCUGGUCUGAGAGGAUGAUCAGCCACACUGUAUCUGAGACACGGUCCAGACCCCUAAGGGAGGGAGCAGUGGGGAAUAUUGGACAAGGGGCGCAAGCCUGAUCCAGCCAAACCGCGUGGGUGAAGAAGGCCUUCGGGUUGUAAAGCCCUUUUGGUGUGAAAGAAAAGCAGCAGGUUAAUACCCCGCUGUUCUGACGGUACCCGAAGAAUAAGCACCGGCUAACUUCGUG
rnacentral:rRNA from 1 species